rnacentral:rRNA from 1 species
GACGGAGGGUGCUAGCGUUGUUCGGAAUUACUGGGCGUAAAGGGCGCGUAGGCGGCUGCUCAAGUCGGGUGUGAAAGCCCGGGGCUCAACCCCGGAACGGCACCCGAGACUGGGCGGCUCGAGACCGGGAGAGGUGGGUGGAAUACCCAGUGUAGAGGUGAAAUUCGUAGAUAUUGGGUGGAACACCGGUGGCGAAAGCGGCUCACUGGACGGUUUCUGACGCUAAGACGCGAAAGCGUGGGGAGCAAACAGG